rnacentral:rRNA from 1 species
AAUAGAUACCCGGGUAGUCCACGCCGUAAACGAUGAGAACUAGGUGUCGUGGGUGUUGACCCCCGCGGUGCCGUAGCUAACGCAUUAAGUUCUCCGCCUGGGGAAGUACGGUCGCAAGACUAAAACUCAAAGGAAAUUGACGGGGGCCCGCACAAGCGGUGGAGCAUGUGGUUUAAUUCGACGCAACGCGCAGAACCUUGCCUGGUCUUGACAUCCUCGGAAUGCCUCAGAGAUGAGGCGGUGCCCGCAAGGGAACCGAGAGACAGGUGCUGCAUGGCUGUCGUCAGCUCGUGUCGUGAGAUGUUGGGUUAAGUCCCGCAACGAGCGCAACCCUCGCCUUUAGUUGCCGCGCAAGCGGAUCUCUAGAGGGACUGCCGGUGUUAAACCGGAGGAAGGUGGGGAUGACGUCAAGUCCUCAUGGCCUUUAUGACCCAGGGGCUACACACGUGCUACAAUGGCCGGUACAAAGCGUUGCCAACUCGCGAGAGGGAGCUAAUCGCAUAAAACCGGUCUCAGUUCAGAUUGGAGUCUGCUAAC